GUUGGUGGAGUGAUUUGUCUGGUUAAUUCCGUUAACGAACGAGACCUCGACCUGCUAAAUAGUUUGCAUGAUACUAUAUCGUGUGAAACUUCUUAGAGGGACUCUCGGUGUGUAGCCGAUGGAAGUUCGAGGCAAUAACAGGU
rnacentral:rRNA from 1 species